rnacentral:snRNA from 1 species
AUCACUUCUCCUCCUCUUGGCUAAGAUCAAAUGUAGUAUCUGUUCUUAUCAGUUUAAUAUCUGAUACAUCCUCUGUCCAAGGACAAUGUAUUAAAUGGAUUUUUGGAGCAGGGAGUUAGAAUAUGCGCUGGUAUUUAAGUACCUCCAGGAACAGUGCACCUCCU